CCUACGGGUGGCAGCAGUGAGGAAUAUUGGUCAAUGGGCGCAAGCCUGAACCAGCCAAGUCGCGUGAGGGAUGACGGUCCUAUGGAUUGUAAACCUCUUUUGUCGGGGAGCAAGGCCCGCCACGUGUGGCGGGAAGGAGAGUACCCGAAGAAAAAGCAUCGGCUAACUCCGUGCCAGCAGCCGCGGUAAUACGGAGGAUGCGAGCGUUAUCCGGAUUUAUUGGGUUGAAAGGGUGCGGAGGCGGAAGGUUAAGUCAGCGGUAAAAGGUAGGGGCUCAACCCCGGCCUGCCGUUGAAACUGGUCUUCUUGAGAGAGCGAGAAGUAUGCGGAAUGCGUGGUGUAGCGGUGAAAUGCAUAGAUAUCACGCAGAACUCCGAUUGCGAAGGCAGCAUACCGGCGCCCAACUGACGCUGAAGCACGAAAGCGUGGGUAUCGAACAGGAUUAGAUACCCGAGUAGUC
rnacentral:rRNA from 1 species